UACAGAGGUGGCAAGCGUUGUUCGGAAUUACUGGGCGUAAAGGGCUCGUAGGCGGCCAACUAAGUCAGACGUGAAAUCCCCUCGGCUUAACCGGGGAACUGCGUCUGAUACUGGAUGGCUUGAGUUUGGGAGAGGGAUGCGGAAUUCCAGGUGUAGCGGUGAAAUGCGUAGAUAUCUGGAGGAACACCGGUGGCGAAGGCGGCAUCCUGGACCAACACUGACGCUGAGUGAGCGAAAGCCAGGGGAGCAAACGGG
rnacentral:rRNA from 1 species